AGGAUGAACGCUGGCGGCGUGCCUAACACAUGCAAGUCGAACGUCCUGUCUCGCAAGAGGCAGGGAGUGGCGGACGGGUGAGUACCACGUGGGUCAUCUACCGUGAGGUGAGGAAUACCGGCGAGAAAUCGCCGACAAGACCGCAUAGCCUCGGUGCAAGCCGAGGAAAGCUCUCUCGAGAGAGGGAGCGCCACACGAGGAGCCUGCGCCCGAUUAGCUAGCUGGUGGAGUAACGGUUCACCAGGGCGACGAUCGGUAGCUGGUCUGAGAGGACGAUCAGCCACACUGGGAUUGAGAACGGCCCAGACUCCUACGGGGGGCAGCAGUGAGGAAUUUUCGUCAAUGGGGCAACCCUGAACGAGCAACGCCGCGUGCAGGAAGAAGGUUUUCGGAUCGUAAACUGCUUUUCUCGGGGAAGAGAACGGACGGUACCCGAGGAAUCGAGCCCCGGCUAACUACGCGCCAGCAGCCGCGGUAA
rnacentral:rRNA from 1 species